rnacentral:lncRNA from 1 species
CUGACACCAAAUGUCUCACCUUGAAAAGUCAAUGCAACUAAUCAUUAUCAAGAAAGAAAAAGUGUUCCAUCCCACCAUCACGAGCCACUAAAAGAAUUCCAUCUCAAAAUCAGUACGCUAGUCACAUGCAACCCACUUGAAAGACACGUUAAAGAUGGCAUACACUAUUCACCUAAAAAAACCACUACAACUAGACAUCCUAUGUUACAGACAUUUAACCAGAGCUUUCAAUGACAGCAUCGAUCUUUAUGGUAGAACAGAACAUAUUGUUUAUCUGAGAGCAACAAAGUCAUGACUCAUCACAUGCACAUGCAAUUGCCCCCGAAACUAGUUGAUUACUAAGUUAGGAAGUUCUUUAACCAAGAUAGCUAUGACUCCACGAUGCAUAAUGCCACGAGAAGUCACUUCAAUCUAUGGGAGCACCAAGACAAAUGCACGCUGGUGGAUGAAUCAAACUCGAGAAAGUAACAGCACCAGAAUUCUCCCAGAUCCUCCCUCAUUGUAGCUUGAUAAAUCAAACGUAAAACAAGGGAGCCUCGCAGAGAUCAUUUCCCAGCAGCUGUACAGGUGAAGGUAUAUGCCAAGACAAGUUUCAAAUGUAUGAUCCAAGGAAAAAGAACGAAAAAAUGAAUGAAAAAAAGAAGAAGAAAAAAGCACAGCAUAUAUCAAGAGAUGCAAGAGGGUAAAUUUUUCCCAGCAAGCCUACCGUACAGAAUCGUUCUUGAAAACACGGAAAAGGAAAGGACCCAAGCAAACACAUGCGAAGUUUGAAAUCAACCGCCAGGAUUGUUUCAAGACAACCUCGACAUGACAUGCAUAUUUGAAGCAAGGGUAUAUAAUGCCUUGUCAGGUUGAGCCUCUUCCGUCAAUUAAAUGCAACACCGAAAGUAAAGCAGCCACCGAUAUCUUCUGUACCAAUUGACAAAGAAUAUGCUUCAGCUCCAGUAACAACAUGCUUUAGAAGAGGUUGG